GAGAACAUCAAACAAGAAACGGAUAUGGACCUUUAUGAUAUAGACUUUGAUGAUGAAGUAGAGGACACAAAACCAGCUAUCAAGCAAAGAGGUCAACAUUGAUGUCAAACCAGAGCAGCUGACCUCAAUAAACCCAAAGGGGAAAAUGUGGUAUCCUUUGAGGCGGUCUCCAUUGGUUGGGACAUGCCUGCAAACCAAUCAGAAUUGUCGACAGAUGUUGAGGUGGACUCUUCUCAAAUCCCAUUGGUCACCAAUGAACAAGGAGAGAAGAUUCUAAGAGUCUAUUGGCUGGAUGCAUUUGAGGACCAGUAUAAGAACC